rnacentral:sRNA from 1 species
AGAGUGCACUGCCUCAGCAGGAAACAGGUCAGGAUGUAUGUGUCUCCUACAUGCCUUAAGCACCCAUAAAGGUAUGUCCCUAGGGUUUCCAGACCAGAUGUCACUGCCACUGAGGACCAGGACUGCCUCUAGUUGGCCACUCCCUGUCAGUGCCUUCGGAAUCCUCUAGAAAUGGCCACCUGCAGUUAGGGUUCAACCAUGCAGGGACAAGCAUGCCUAGGUAUGGAAUCAUUUACAUAACACUUAUCACUUUCACUGUCUGAGGCACAGUUUGGUAAGAGUUCAUUCAUACUACCAUGCAGUCGUCAUCAUUGCCGUCUAGAACUUUCCAUUCUCCAAAGCACUGAUUUCUCCAGCUCUAGAACUUUCCAUUCUCCAAAGCACUGAUUUCUCCAGCCUCUGGCACUUUUCGCCCCUACACGUUGGACUGCCCGGUCUAGUUUCAUCUCUGUUUUUCUGCUCAAAGCAACCCUGACCUGGAGCAAGGUAAGGGAGAAAGAGGUCAGGGAUGAUCAACACCCAGAGGCAAAGUCAAUGGUCUUGGUUGGCUCCCAGAUCCCUCAAGACCCCCAGCUAUCUAGCUCCUCCUUUUCCCCAGGGCCAUUCCACUGACUGCAGAUCCUGCCUUCCCCGGGUGUACUUUGGUGACAGUGUUAAGUCCUGGAUUCAGUGUAACUGUGUACCUGUGCCAUCCUGUGUCUGUAGUCCAGUUCCUUUGCGAAGGUAGCCAGAGCUGUUGUGCCUGCCACUCGAGGCCCCCAGAAGAGGCAGAGAAGCCACCAGGUUUAGCACUCAAGGAUAAUGAGAUAGUACAAAAUAUCUCAUUAAUUCUAUAUCAAUUGCCUAUUGAAAUGAUAGCCUUUGACCAUGUUACUUUAAUUAAAGAGCUUAUUAAUUUCUCCUGAGUUCUGGCUGUUUAAUAUGGUUCUGAGAGCAUUCAAGGCGGCUGGCAUUUAUGGCCCAUGUCCUUUGUAUAUCAGACAGUGCUACCUACACAGCGGGCAACUUGACCCGAGGGGACUGGAACACAGGCAGGUUUCAACAUGGGAAAGGGGAAACUGAGGUAGGGUGACCCUAGCCAGAAGCUAUGGCCGGAUGGGAAGGGAGCAGAUGUGGAUUUGAUCCAUAGCUAGCCACGUGGGAUGGCACAUUUAAGAUGAAAUUGGGGAAGUAGACAGAGUGAGAACACCCCCUCCCAGCCCUCUCCACAUGCCCCACAUACCCUAUAUACCCCCAUUUCCAAGUCUUUGAGGAUAAGCAAAGAAAUAAAUGGUGCUAAAAGCUUUUCUUCAAUCUUUCUUUUCUUUCCUCUUCUCCUCUUCCUUCUUCUCCUCCAUCUUCUUCGUCGUUGUCAACUUUAAAUUUUACACAUAUGGGUGUUUUGCAUUGUACAUAUAUCUGUGUACCGAGUGUAUGCCUGGUGCUUGCUGUGGUCUGAGAAGGAUGUGGCAUCUGCUGGAACUGGAGUAAACAGAUGGUUGUGAGCCACCAUGUGGGUGCUGGGAAUUGAACCCAGGUCCUUUCAAAGAACAACAAGGGCUCUUAACCGCUGAGCCAGCUCUCCAGCUCUUCAGCUCUUCAUCUCCUAGUCCUUAUUCGUGUAUAUCAGGGCAGUUGGUCCUCUGCAUAAAGUUAAGAUGUCAGCUUUUGGGGUUGGGGAUUUAGCUCAGUGGUAGAGCGCUUGCCUAGCAAGCGCAAGGCCCUGGGUUCGUUCGGUCCCCAGCUCCAGAAAAAAAGAAAAGUCAGCUUUUGGUCUUAGGGCAGAUGCAGCCUUGGACUGGCAUCCAGAGAUAUGUUCCUUCUGUAGCUACAGCUUUGGGGGACAUUUCAAAGUCUUAAUUUUGUAGUUGUUUGUUUCAAAACAAACAGGCCUAUGGCUAGUCGCCGAGACCUACUCAACUUCCAUUUUGCAGGUAAGAAAACAAGCUCAUACCCAGUGGCUUGCACGGUCAUUGCGUGCUUACCAACCAGUCACUUCAGAGAGAGUGGAGAAAGCUAGCUCUCAUAUCGUCAUUCAGAGGAGCCAUGAGCAAAUCUGACAGUGUGACAGGCACAAAGAUGUGCUGAGCUUAGACGCUGAGGACCCUGAGCAUCCCCUGCAUCUGAGAUGCAGAACCUGUGUGCUGAACGUGGCCGUGUCGCACAGGAUGGUGGGGCUGUCAAAGAGCUGACAACCAAGGCCCACACUGGAGUCCUUUCCCUAUGGAGAGCUAGAAAAGUCACUGCAGGCAAAUAAGGCCCGUCAUCCUCGGUGUGCUUCUUGCUCCCUCUAGUGGCAGAGUUCAGCAGUGCCUGCAAACAAAGGAGAAAUCUUGGGGGUCCACGUCUCCAGGACGACAAAGCAAAGCAGAAACGCUUCCCUGUGGACUGAAUAGCAGAAACUCGAAUGCUCACAGCAGCGGUCUUCCUACUGGCCAACAAUUUUAAGCCAUCCAGUACCUGUGGGUAGAGCAGACUGGUAUCCCCACAGAUGGACCACUGUAAGCCACGUGCAAUGUGUGCUUCUCAGAGGCUUCAGCGAAAGCGGCCAAGUACAGGAGUGUAGGCAGAGGUCAGACUGCCUGCCCGUGUUAGUAGGUAAGUACAUGGGGAGUGUGGAGUCCCAGUAGCAGCAACUGCCUGAUCCUGAGGGCACCUUCAUACAUGUGAAUCCCAGUGGUGGGACUGGCAUGUUGUUUCGUAUCCACUUCAGCUGUGUGCCACAUGACCUCCCAUCAUAAUGAAACAGAAUUAUGAGCACGGCGGAGGGACUGAGUCAGUGAGAGGUGGGGCAGAGGGCGAGGGACUUCUCUCAAAGCUAGGUGCAGACGAUGAGGUACUAAGGAACGAAGAUAAAGUUGGAUGAGGCAGGGGGCUUAGGGGUACCGAGGCCAAGUCUAAACCAACAAAAGGGAGGGCUCUGCGCACUGGUGUGGAUGGGAAUGGUCCCCGGGGUGGAGAUGUGUAGAGGGACUAAGACCUUGUUGGAGAUGCGUCAUUCCCAGUGUGCCCUGCCUUCUGCUCGUGGAAGGUGUGAGCUUAGCUGCUGCUCCCACUACCUGUUGCUAUGGCCUCCCUUCCACCGGCAUGGUCCCUAGCCCUCUGGAACUGUAAGGCCGGUUAAUCUCCUAUAAACUGCCUUAGUGUCUUAUCAGAGACUAGCAGGCAGCCUCACAUAGACGACCCUGGCAACAAGGUAUCACGGAGGAAGUGGGGAGCUGCUGUCGGAGGUGAAUAUGUCCUGACAGCUGAAACUGUGGCAUGAACUGCCCAGAUCAGAGUGGCCUAAAAUGAGAUAAAAGGCACAAAUCCCCUUAAAUAGACGUCCCAACAAGAAUGGGGCUCCACUCACUCCACUAUGGAAGAAACUUCUGGAACAACCUCAAGUGUAGGUAUGUGGACUAGCCUACUAGCUAGCAGAGCCCUAUAAAACCACCACGAUGCUGUGCACCCAGCCUGCGGGCAUUAAGGCACCUGAAAGUAGGCCCGAUUACAAGCUCAGAAGCUUCGCUGAAGGGAACAGGGCCCAGGAAAGCCAGAGGGUAGGCAGGAGCCUGCUGCCAGUCAGCUCCGGCCCAGCUAGGACAUGGGAGGUCCACAACCUCCUCUAACCCACACCUGAGUGCUUCCAUUGGCCACACUCACACAGGUAAGUGGGCCCAGGGACAUCCACAGGUGGAAUGGUGUCACGGUCAGGUGGAAACAAUCAUGAACACUAUGGAGACAGGACUGGGGUGGGCCCAUGCGCUGCUCACUGCUGUUUGGCUGAUCUCAGGAAUGACCCCAUCAUGAAAGCACCAUCUCUUCUUGGACACGAGGACUCCCCCUCACUGACUGUGUGGCUGUUUCGGGGCCUAUGAGCCAGACAGCAGGGACCUCAGCUGCCUCUCGGCAACACAUGCAUUUGGUCUCUCAUGGUUCCUUGCAUUGUUCCACAGCCCAUGGUAGCCCUGUGAGGACCAGCCCUGCAGGCAUGGGCUGGACAUGGCAUGUGGGUAGCACAGGACCAAAGGGCUGAGUGAACGCAGCACUGUCUCAGCAAAGCUGUAUUCCUGGGCCCUCAGGCUUGAGCUUACAUGGUCAUGAAACAUUAUCUCCAGCUAUUUAGAACUUGGGUCACAGGACCCAGCCAGGUUUGCAUAUGCAUUUAUCCAGGGACCAAACAUCUCCGUGUUCACAACGCAUAACACUAGCUCCUAUAGCAGUGAGCGUCCUGCUCUGUGCACACCACCGACUUAACAAUAUAGCUGCUAGUGGCCACAAGGCUUCCUACCAUGUGUGCAUGUCCACGUGGAGGCCAGAGGAUGACACUGCUGUCUUCCUAUUGCUAAAAGGUCACUGCUUAGACCAGGCUGCCACCCCAGCAUCAGGGUUACAGGGUGCUAGUUCUGCCCUGCCUUUGUUCUGUGGGGGAGGGGGGGCCUUGAACUUGGGUCUUCUCUCUCCGUAGCUGCUUACUCGCCAAGCAUCUCUCCUGCCCGGGAUGGUUUCCCUGCAGCUGGUCUGGGACACAGCAUGGGUGGGCAGAGCUAGCUGACACCUCUAGCCACCAAAAGCCGUGUCAUCUGAGCAGCAUGCCCACAGCCAUUGUCUUAGGACCAGCUUUGGAGGCCGCUGAACAUUCCAGAAAGCUAUGCAAAGCUGUCUUUAUUGAUGCUGUGUAUUCUCUUCACUCACUUCUGUUCUGCAGCGCAUGCAGAGGUCAAAGCAGCAGACCCAUGAGGUCACCAGUCAUUCCCUGUAAACAAGGCUGGCCCGGCAAGGCCACACCCUCACAGCCCUGAAGCCUGCUUGGUCUGCUCAGCCCCAGACUGAGGCUACAGAGAAACAGUACCAUCUGCCUCACAACAGCAAGCAGCUACAUAAGAGGUCAUGUUGUCAAAGGUGGCCUUGUACAGGCUGCGGAAGCCAUCAUCUGCACCAGCAGAGCCUAUGACAAGGACAAGAAGAGAUGCCAGGUGAAGUGACUGGGAACAUGGCCCAGGGGCCAGACCUAUUUCCUCUCACAGGUUGGUCUCCGGAAUUCUACCUCCCUGACACCUCAUGUGACCCAACCUUUGGGAUCCACGCUUGGGCUGGACCUGGGGACUUGUUCCAACAGAAUAUGGAAGGGAAGGGAUAGAGGUGGGAAGCAGGGUCAAGGGAUCUGCUGACAUCUGGUCUGUGCUUUCCCAUUCACUGAUAAAGUCAGCUGCAGGUCCUGAACCAAGGGGAGCACAGAAGUGAGGCCUAAAUCCUGCAGCCACCUCCUGAGUGGGAAUGGACCCUGCCCAAGGGGAACCUAAGACCAGCCAGGGUCAGUCAACACCAGUGGAUGGCAGGUGGUCUACGGAGGCCACAGGCUCCAGCGAGCCAUGGCUCUGGGUGGCAACACUGCAGGAGGCUUCCUUGAGUGUUAAGCUCUGGUACUACGGGCAGAGCCCCUCAGCCAGUCUCACCCUGGUGAGGUACAUGCCAAGGACAACCAGCUGCAUGCUACAGAGUGUCCUUAGGUCACCCUACCCUGCAGGUGGGUGUGGUCCCCGACCUCCAGCAGCCAAGGCUCAGGAUGCACAGGCUAGUGUGGUGCUCCUCCCCGCCCUAUCCACAUGUGCUCAUCUGUGUGUGGAGCGUCUGUGAAGACAGACUUUGAUCUGAGUCUGCACAGGUAACCCUCAACGACCGGACUGAGCAAGGCCCAGAAGACCCAGAGGGGCUGGCCGGGCAGAGCAUGAGGAAGUACAGUGGGAGGCCAACAGAAUGGCUCAGGAGGGAAAGGAUCCUGCGCCAAGCCUGACAGCCUGAGUUUCAGCCCACAUUCUGCAGAGGCUGUCUCUGACACAUGCUGCAGUCAGAAGUCCAGGGGUGAGCAGCUGCAGGCCCAGACUGCUAACACAGCCUGGGCCACAGGACACACUGCAGUCAGUUCAGAGUGAGCAGCCUGUCCUGCCUGCCACACUUCUUUCAAUUCAACACAAGCCAGUCAGGCUCCAAGAUGGGCUCUCAGUUGAGAAAACGCCCACUGGACGGCCCUGUGGCGAGUGAGCCUGCAGGCUUCAGAGGGCACAGCCCUGGAAGUCUAGGAACACUAGUUUCUAAGAAUUGGCUUUGCAACAUCUUUUCUGAGUAAUCCUUUGUUUCAUAAAGACUGGGUCUGGGUGGUUCUGCGUGGAUGAGCAUCCUCUGGCCAGGAAAUACAACAGAGGACACCCCAAGCAGCAGCUGAGUGCUGGACUUCGAGUCCUAUUCUCAGGUCUUCUCACUGCACUCGCAGUAGCAGAGCUUAGAUGUAUUAUACACCUAACAGAGU